GGAGAGAUGGCCGAGUGGCUGAAGGCGCACGUCGCCACAACGUGGCGGCGGCCCGAAGGGCGAGGGCGCCAGCCCGAGUAAUCCCUCUCUCUCCGCCA
rnacentral:tRNA from 1 species